CCUACGGGAGGCUGCAGAGGGGAAUACUGGACAAUGGGGGCAACCCUGAUCCAGCCAUGCCGCGUGUGAGAAGAAGGCCCUCGGGUUGGAAAGCACUUUCAGUGAGGAAGAACGCCUGGUGGUUAAUACCCAUCAGGAAAGACAUCACUCACAGAAGAAGCACCGGCUAACUCCGUGCCAGCAGCCGCGGUAAUACGGAGGGUGCGAGCGUUAAUCGGAAUUACUGGGCGUAAAGCGCGCGUAGGUGGCUUGAUAAGCCGGUUGUGAAAGCCCCGGGCUCAACCUGGGAACGGCAUCCGGAACUGUCAAGCUAGAGUGCAGGAGAGGAAGGUAGAAUUCCCGGUGUAGCGGUGAAAUGCGUAGAGAUCGGGAGGAAUACCAGUGGCGAAGGCGGCCUUCUGGACUGACACUGACACUGAGGUGCGAAAGCGUGGGUAGCAAACAGGAUUAGAUACCCUUGUAGUC
rnacentral:rRNA from 1 species